rnacentral:tRNA from 1 species
GAGGGUGUAGCUCAAGUGGUAGAGCACAUGCUUGACAUGCAUGAGGUCCUGGGUUCAAUUCCCAGCACAUCCU